rnacentral:lncRNA from 1 species
ACUUUUUUCUUUGGAGUCUCCUCUACCAAGAGCAAAAAGAAUCUUGAUAGUGAGAUUUCUGUCUAUGCUUGUGGCCCUCAGAGAAGCAUUUCAAUAGAUUAUUCAUCUGUAAAACUGGAAUGGGGAGAGAAGAUCCUCUGUCAACCUUAAGCUGUGCUAUAUAAUAGUUGAAAGGACACAGAAAAAUAUUUAGGACAAUUAAAGCAAGCUACCAUUCUAGACAUAGGGAUUAUAAAUAAAUUGAUUUUGAUAUUGA